AUCUGGGCGGCGGAAUUCAGGACGGCUGGCGGGUCUCGCGCUCGCUCGGCCGUUUGAUAUUUCCGUCGCCGUGUCAGACGUCGCGACCUGUUCGUCGUCGGUCCUUGCUCGGAGGAAUUGCGAUCGAGUUCGUUGCGUGCGCGUUUCGGCGUGUCUCGCGGCGAAGACGCGACUCUCUGGCUGACGACGGACAGUAAGCAACGGUGUCCGGCGCCGUGUCUCGCACUCGGCGUCGGUGCCGGUCAGCGACGAUUUCUUCGGGCCUCUUUCCGACCCGUCUUGAAACACGGACCAAGGAGUCUAACAUGCGCGCGAGUCGCGGGGUUUCGAGCGUGCCACGGUGCGCUCGUUACUUCCGAAACCCGUACGUUGAAGGCGUAAUGAAAGUGAACAGGGAAGAUGGCGUUCCGAGUCCACGUACCGUGAUCGAGUAUCGCGGCCGGACGUCCGCACUCCCGGGGCGUCUCAAUGGCUCGCCACGGAUGCGGACGAUCGUCUUUCGGGGCGGUCGUCGGUCUGUGGCGGUCCGA
rnacentral:rRNA from 1 species